AUUGAACGCUGGCGGCAGGCCUAACACAUGCAAGUCGAGCGGAUGAAGGGGGCUUGCUCCUGGAUUCAGCGGCGGACGGGUGAGUAAUGCCUAGGAAUCUGCCUGGUAGUGGGGGAUAACGUCCGGAAACGGGCGCUAAUACCGCAUACGUCCUGAGGGAGAAAGUGGGGGAUCUUCGGACCUCACGCUAUCAGAUGAGCCUAGGUCGGAUUAGCUAGUUGGUGGGGUAAAGGCCUACCAAGGCGACGAUCCGUAACUGGUCUGAGAGGAUGAUCAGUCACACUGGAACUGAGACACGGUCCAGACUCCUACGGGAGGCAGCAGUGGGGAAUAUUGGACAAUGGGCGAAAGCCUGAUCCAGCCAUGCCGCGUGUGUGAAGAAGGUCUUCGGAUUGUAAAGCACUUUAAGUUGGGAGGAAGGGCAGUAAGUUAAUACCUUGCUGUUUUGACGUUACCAACAGAAUAAGCACCGGCUAACUUCGUGCCAGCAGCCGCGGUAAUACGAAGGGUGCAAGCGUUAAUCGGAAUUACUGGGCGUAAAGCGCGCGUAGGUGGUUCAGCAAGUUGGAUGUGAAAUCCCCGGGCUCAACCUGGGAACUGCAUCCAAAACUACUGAGCUAGAGUACGGUAGAGGGUGGUGGAAUUUCCUGUGUAGCGGUGAAAUGCGUAGAUAUAGGAAGGAACACCAGUGGCGGAGGCGACCACCUGGACUGAUACUGACACUGAGGUGCGAAAGCGUGGGGAGCAAACAGGAUUAGAUACCCUGGUAGUCCACGCCGUAAACGAUGUCGACUAGCCGUUGGGAUCCUUGAGAUCUUAGUGGCGCAGCUAACGCGAUAAGUCGACCGCCUGGGGAGUACGGCCGUAAGGUUA
rnacentral:rRNA from 1 species